AGGAGCUUAAUUCUAGUUCCCUAGCUGCUGAGGCUUUCUGUUGGAUUUUGGGAGAAGAAGUGAACUAUUUAGGUGUUUGGAGACUGCUGAAUGAGUGCAUGCCUGAAGAACUCAAAAUGUGCAGAAUGAGUGUCAUAUGCAUGCUAAGCUGUUCCUGUGUUUCUGGAUAGAAACAGCUAAACGGCUGUCAAGAAUACAUUCUUUUUUCUCCAGAGGAUUUUGCCAUUUUCCUCCUGAGAGAGCUUUUGUUUUGCAUGAACUGGAAUCCUUUUUGGGAAAAGCUACCAGAGCUUCACUGCAGAGGGAAUCAUGUGCAGUACUGGGAAUUGAGUUUCAAGAGGCUGGCAGACUGUGGAUAUUUCUAAAUCCAGUGAAUUAGACACUGCAUUUCUCAGAACACUUCCAGACUUUGACUGCAGUUACCUGAGAAGUAAAAACCUGUAUGUAUAGCAGGUGAUGGACACCAUGACAGUUAAAAG
ensembl:lncRNA